GAUGAACGCUGGCGGCGUGCCUAAUACAUGCAAGUCGAGCGAACAGACGAGGAGCUUGCUCCUCUGACGUUAGCGGCGGACGGGUGAGUAACACGUGGAUAACCUACCUAUAAGACUGGGAUAACUUCGGGAAACCGGAGCUAAUACCGGAUAAUAUAUUGAACCGCAUGGUUCAAUAGUGAAAGACGGUUUUGCUGUCACUUAUAGAUGGAUCCGCGCCGCAUUAGCUAGUUGGUAAGGUAACGGCUUACCAAGGCAACGAUGCGUAGCCGACCUGAGAGGGUGAUCGGCCACACUGGAACUGGGACACGGUCCAGACUCCUACGGGAGGCAGCAGUAGGGAACCUUCCGCAAUGGGCGAAAGCCUGACGGAGCAACGCCGCGUGAGUGAUGAAGGUCUUCGGACCGUAAAACUCUGUUAUUAGGGAAGAACAAAUGUGUAAGUAACUAUGCACGUCUUGACGGUACCUAAUCAGAAAGCCACGGCUAACUACGUG
rnacentral:rRNA from 1 species